rnacentral:rRNA from 1 species
AGGACGAACGCUGGCGGCGUGCCUAACACAUGCAAGUCGAACGGAGUUGAGGAGCUUGCUCCUCAACUUAGUGGCGGACGGGUGAGUAACGCGUGAGUAACCUGCCUCUGAGAGGGGAAUAACGUUCUGAAAAGAACGCUAAUACCGCAUAACACAUAUUUGCCGCAUGACAGAUAUGUCAAAGAUUUUAUCGCUCAGAGAUGGACUCGCGUCCGAUUAGUUAGUUGGUGAGGUAACGGCUCACCAAGACCGCGAUCGGUAGCCGGACUGAGAGGUUGAACGGCCACAUUGGGACUGAGACACGGCCCAGACUCCUACGGGAGGCAGCAGUGGGGGAUAUUGCGCAAUGGGGGCAACCCUGAACCGCAGCAACGCCGCGUGAAGGAUGAAGGUUUUCGGAUUGUAAACUUCUUUUAUCAGGGACGAAUUUUGACGGUACCUGAUGAAUAAGCUCCGGCUAACUACGUGCCAGCAGCGGC